UCCUCAGGAGACCAGAGCCCCUUCCUCAGCUUCUGCUUGUAACAGCAGGAGUGCUUCCCCAUUGAAAGCAAUGCAGAAGCUGAAGCUGAGCUCUGCAAUCUGCACACACCUUGAGGAGCAGCACAGAAUUCUUCACAGUGAAUGAAUGUGACCUGGAGAGCUGCUAGUCUGUCACUGCUACUAUGAACUUUUUCCCCGGCAACCUCUGCGUCACAUGUAUUCCAUGCAGGGAAAGGAAAGCCACCAGAUCAUUUCUUACCCAGAGAAACCUUCCAUCAAUCAUCAACAGGCGGCAUCAAAUAUUUGCAUUCCAGGACAGAGAGCAUCUUCCUUUUCUGUCUCCGCAAGCCAGCAAUGCAAAUUUUCUUUAGGACCUCCAGGCUCCAAUCAGAAAUCUUUGCUCCAAUCCAAAGAAAAAGCAUGCUGGCACCUCUGAAGAAGUUCGCAAUCAGUCAGAGAGAAUCAGACCUUCUGUACAGAUGAUUGCCUCGGCUGUGGUAUGCUUUCUUCAUUGGCCGUGUUCUGACGCAGAGCGAAGCGCAACUGCAACAUGCACAAGUUCUGUAAACCUUGGUCUGGUGAGUAUAGAGAGGUAUAUUGGUUGUUGGAUUUUUUAUGGUUCUGGUGCGAAAACUUCCAUACGCUGUCUUUGUUCGGAGACAGAACACUGGGGGUAUAAUAGUCUCAAUGAGGUGGCAAACCCUAGCAUUUUAUUUGUUAUCCUCCAUUGCUUGUCUGCUAAAAGAAAUGCCUUGAUUCAUGA